rnacentral:tRNA from 1 species
UCCCUGGUGGCUCAGACGGUAAAGCAUCUGCCUGCAAUGCGGGAGACCCGGGUUCGAUUCCUGGGUCUGGAA